rnacentral:rRNA from 1 species
GACGAACGCUGGCGGCGUGCUUAACACAUGCAAGUCGAACGGAAAGGCCCUGCUUUUGUGGGGUGCUCGAGUGGCGAACGGGUGAGUAACACGUGAGUAACCUGCCCUUGACUUUGGGAUAACUUCAGGAAACUGGGGCUAAUACCGGAUAGGAGCUCCCGCUGCAUGGUGGGGGUUGGAAAGUUUCGGCGGUUGGGGAUGGACUCGCGGCUUAUCAGCUUGUUGGUGGGGUAGUGGCUUACCAAGGCUUUGACGGGUAGCCGGCCUGAGAGGGUGACCGGCCACAUUGGGACUGAGAUACGGCCCAGACUCCUACGGGAGGCAGCAGUGGGGAAUAUUGCACAAUGGGCGGAAGCCUGAUGCAGCAACGCCGCGUGCGGGAUGGCGGCCUUCGGGUUGUAAACCGCUUUCGCCUGUGACGAAGCGUGAGUGACGGUAAUGGGUAAAGAAGCACCGGCUAACUACGUG